rnacentral:lncRNA from 1 species
AAGGAGGUUGGCCCAGGGAAGAAUAUGACCUCUGUUCUGUCUGAGAUAAAAAAGCAAUGCAUUAAAUUACUGAAAUCAAAAGCAAUACAUAAAUUACUGUUACAUUUUGAAAUAGCUAAAUAUUUAGAUUUUUACUUAGGUAUUUAAAGCAGAGUUCUGAUACAACGGGUGUCAUAGAGGAAGACUAAAGCUUGAGAAUGAAACCAGCAGCCUUUAUAUAAGGAAAGGGUCUCCCGGAAACGAGAGGGGUUGAGGAGGUGGAUGCAGCAAGAGGCAGUUGGCAAGAAAUUGUGCAAAGGGAGAAUGGAGUAGAUUUUGCUGCCCUUCAAACUGAGAGACCAUGAACAAUGUCUUCCCUCUUUGUUUACAAGCAAAGUUCAUCACCCGUAGCUUUGUGAGGCAAAAAAACAAUUCGUAUUUUAUCAAAUUUUACUAAAUUCAUAUUUUGGGAAAGGGAAAAAGCAUUUUGUAUUUAUUAAUAGCUUAGGAAGGGAAAGAAGACGUGCAGAGCAAUUGUGGGUAAGCAAAUAUAAAAUGAAUUUGUCUGCUUUAGAAUUUUUGAAAAAUACAUGGAAAAGGAAAAAGUUUGUAUAUCACACACCAUGGGGUGGGUAACGCAGAAAGAACUCGGGAUAACAUAAGGCCAAAUCCAACUUUUCUCAUCAUAGCAUUUUAUAAAUUUCAGUGGAGUUAUUAGUUUUAAGCUAUAAUAAUUCUGAGAUUGUAGUUUUUACAACUGAAAGGUGUUUUAAGCAGAAAACAAUGCUUUAAUGUGAGGUUAAACAAGAUUAUUAUCUCACAUGAUUUCAAUUCUUUUUCUCUAGAUACAUCACUUCGCGAUGGUCUGCUUAUCUUUUUCCUCCUUGUGUUGCCAGUAGUAAUCGUUACUGUAUUAGCAGUAAUUAAGCGUGACGCAAUAAAAAGAAAAUUUUGCAGGAAAAGCAGAAGCCAACACAGGGAUAACAAUGUGCAGCAACCAAAGCAAACCAACAGUUCGAGUCAUAACACAAGAAAUAAUCAGGUAAGAUAGACCCAUGUUUGCAUUAUUUCAUGUUGAGCAAUCCAAAUUACACAGUGCUGUGUAAUGCUAAUGGCUUUGAAGCUUUUUGAUACAUUGAAACCAGGUGAAUUUCCAAGUAUUUAUAAUUAUUUCUAAUGCGUUAGACAGGAUUUCUGUUUGGGUCAGUAGGACCCUGCCAACACAGGCUGUGAGCAGUACGGGGUGGAACGGGCUGCUCCUGAGCAGGGCACCCAAAAACGGAACUCUGGAUUCUGCGGCCAAACACCAGAGAAGCCGCUGAGCCUGGCUGUGGGUCUGGCGCUGAUAAAACAAAAGAAAAGAAUCAUCGAAACAGAAUGUUGCAAGGGAACAUGAAGAAUGUCACAGGAAUUGAAAAUUAGUUCUAAAAUACCACUAGCUUAAUACUAGAUAAUUAGCCACACUUUGAAAUCUGUGUUUUCUGCUAACUCGAUUUUCUGCGGUGUCUUUUCCAGCCUCCCA